CCUCGUGAACCUCCUCAGGUCCGGA
rnacentral:SRP_RNA from 11 species